CCCUGGUUGCCUCCACCAGGCCCGAGGAGCAGGGCUUAGCUGCUUGUGAGCAGGGUUCCCACCAGGCGUGUUCACAGUGGCUAAGUUCCGUCCCCCGGGCCCCGCCCUCUGCACCUCCACC
rnacentral:pre_miRNA from 13 species